rnacentral:rRNA from 1 species
GACGAACGCUGGCGGCGUGCCUAACACAUGCAAAGGUCGAACGGAACUGGUUUUGAAAGAUUUCUUCGGAAUGAAUUUGAUUUAGUUUAGUGGCGGACGGGUGAGUAACGCGUGAGUAACCUGCCUUCAAAGGGGGAUAACAUUCUGAAAAGAAUGCUAAUACCGCAUGACAUAUCGGAACCACAUGGUUCUGAUAUCAAAGAUUUUAUCGCUUGAAGAUGGACUCGCGUCCGAUUAGUUAGUUGGUGAGGUAACGGCUCACCAAGACCGCGAUCGGUAGCCGGACUGAGAGGUUGAACGGCCACAUUGGGACUGAGACACGGCCCAGACUCCUACGGGAGGCAGCAGUGGGGGAUAUUGCGCAAUGGGGGCAACCCUGACGCAGCAACGCCGCGUGAAGGAUGAAGGUUUUCGGAUUGUAAACUUCUUUUAUUAAGGACGAAAAUUGACGGUACUUAAUGAAUAAGCUCCGGCUAACUACGUG